rnacentral:rRNA from 1 species
AUUGAACGCUGGCGGCAGGCCUAACACAUGCAAGUCGAGCGGAGCGGCGGACGGGCGAGUAAUGACUAGGAAUCUGCCUGGUAGUUGGGGAGAACGUACGGAAACGGGCGCUAAUACCGCAUACUAUCAGAUGAGCCUAGGUCGGUGUAGUUAGUUGGUGGGGUAAGGGCCUACCAAGGCGACGAUCCGUAACUGGUCUGAGAGGAUGAUUAGUCACACUGGAACUGAGACACGGUCCAGACUCCUACGGGAGGCAGCAGUGGGGAAUAUGGGACAAUGGGCGAAAGCCUGAUCCAGCCAUGCCGCGUGUGUGAAGAAGGUCUUCGGGUUGUAAAGCACUUUAAGUUGGGAGGCGUUACCAACAGAAGAAGCACCGGCUAACUUCGUGCCAGCAGCCGCGGUAAUAC